rnacentral:other from 1 species
UUAUCUUAAUCUUAAGUUGUCAGCAGGAUGUUGAACAAGCACUCAGGGAUUGAUGCGCUUCAGGAAGAAGACAAGACUAUUCAGGACGAGUAGUCAGCCAGGAAGGCUUUUGAGAAACAUGGAUAGUUUUUUCUGUCAGGAAGACAGGAUAACGGACACCGCCAGGAAGGCGAUGAAAUGGAAUGUGCUAAAGGAUUUAGCGGAUUGUCAUGGAAUAGAUGCAGGGAGCAUUGUUAGUAGCCGGAUUGCUGCGCACAAGGUCAGGAACCCCGCCAGACGUAAGUUUGGUGGGGUUUUCUUUAU